ACAAACUCAAGUACAUCGAAAAGGCAGAAAGGCAAAGUUUCACCCCCCAUCAAUGUUCAGGAUAUUCGGCUAACAACCACUUUCCCUUCCCAUCAAGUCGGCACACAGGAGAGCGUUGGCGAAUUUGAUUUAGGGGUCUAAAGCAUCCACAGAUAUUUGGCUAUAGAUUUUUGUAAACAAUUAACUGACAUGCUCCACUUGGGUGAUUUUGAUAUAGGGGUCUAAAGCAUCUAGAAAAAGUUGGUUGUAUAUUUUUGUAAACAGUUAACCGACAUGUUUUGAUUUUGGGCGGAAAUAUGUUCUAAUUUAUA